UAAUAUUGUACCUGCUCACCUGUGGGCAUCAGACAUAAGCAUAUGGUUUCCUUUAGCCAAUUAGUUGAGAAUGAAGACUGUUAAGAGCCAGAAUGUGGCUUGCAACCUUCUCCUUCCCCUGCCAGAGUGAUUAAUGAUGCCUUCUUCAUCCUGUGUCUCCAAUGGUCUGCAGCCAAACCUGCAAAAUCUCCAAGGUCUGCCAGUAUUAGCAAAGGGAACAAUUCUCUCCAAAAAUGCACCAGAAACAAGUUAGAUGCAGCUCAGGAAUGCGACAAUAUUUUAAUAUAAGAAAAUGGCUUAUAAAGAUAUGUGACCCUCCCAACCUGGGAACUUGUAAAAUAACGAUCACCGCUGCACAGAUGAUACGUGGCCUCAGAAUGGUGUUGUCCAGCACUGGGAUUUCCUUCAAAAGUAUUGGCUUACCAGUGCAGGACUCAGAAAGACUACAGUGUGACUUUUUAGUACAAGAAGUUUCAUCUAAUCUGAAGGCCUAAGGUAGAAAUAAUCAGAAAUCACCAAGGAAGACUUUUGCUGUCAUCAUUUAUAGUGCACUGUUACAGACUCUUAUCAACAUAUUGUCCCUUUCUGCUUUUACUCUCUUGGUAGAAAAUGCCUGCAAUCAUUUGAAAUAUAGGCAUUUCCCAGCA